rnacentral:rRNA from 1 species
UCGAUUUGAAGAGCUUGCUCUGAUAUGACGAUGAACAUUGCAGUGAGUGGCGAACGGGUGAGUAACACGUGGGAAACCUACCUCUUAGCGGGGGAUAACAUCUGGAAACAGAUGCUAAUACCGCAUAACACUAGCAACCGCAUGGUUGCUACUUGAAAGAUGGUUCUGCUAUCACUAAGAGAUGGUCCCGCGGCGCAUUAGUUAGUUGGUGAGGUAAUGGCUCACCAAGACGAUGAUGCGUAGCCGAGUUGAGAGACUGAUCGGCCACAAUGGGACUGAGACACGGCCCAUACUCCUACGGGAGGCAGCAGUAGGGAAUCUUCCACAAUGGACGAAAGUCUGAUGGAGCAACGCCGCGUGUGUGAUGAAGGGUUUCGGCUCGUAAAACACUGUUGUAAGAGAAGAAUAGCAUCAAGAGUAACUGCUUGGUGUGUGACGGUAUCUUACCAGAAAGGAACGGCUAAAUACGUGCCAGCAGCCGCGGUAAUACGUAUGUUCCAAGCGUUAUCCGGAUUUAUUGGGCGUAAAGCGAGCGCAGACGGUUUUUUAAGUCCGAAGUGAAAGCCCACAGCUUAACUGUGGAAGUGCUUUGGAAACUGGAUGACUUGAGUGCAGUAGAGGAGAGUGGAAUUCCAUGUGUAGCGGUGAAAUGCGUAGAUAUAUGGAGGAACACCAGUGGCGAANGCGGCUCUCUGGACUGUAACUGACGUUGAGGCUCGAAAGUGUGGGUAGCAAACAGGAUUAGAUA